rnacentral:rRNA from 1 species
UACAGAGGUCCCAAGCGUUGUUCGGAUUCACUGGGCGUAAAGGGUGCGUAGGCGGUCGGGUAAGUCUGACGUGAAAUCUCCAAGCCUAACUUGGAAACUGCGUUGGAUACUAUCCGGCUCGAGGAAUGGAGGGGAGACUGGAAUUCCUGGUGUAGCGGUGAAAUGCGCAGAUAUCAGGAGGAACACCGGUGGCGAAGGCGGGUCUCUGGGCCAAAACUGACGCUGAGGAGCGAAAGCGUGGGGAGCGAACAGG